UGGUUGAUCCUGCCAGUAGUCAUAUGCUUGUCUCAAAGAUUAAGCCAUGCAUGUCUAAGUAUGAAUGUCUCUAUACUGUGAAACUGCGAAUGGCUCAUUAAAUCAGUUAUAGUUUACUUGAUGGUAACCUUACUCGGAUAACUGUACCAAUUGUAGAGCUAAUACGUGCACCAAGUCCCGACUUCUGGAAGGGAUGUAUUUAUUAGAUACAAAGCCAAUGCGGGCUUCGGCCCGGUACAGUGGCGAGUCAUGAUAACUGCUCGAAUCGCAUGGCCUAGGCGCCGGCGAUGGUUCAUUCAAAUUUCUGCCCUAUCAACUUUCGAUGGUAGGGUAUUGGCCUACCAUGGUUACAACGGGUAACGGAGAAUUAGGGUUCGAUUCCGGAGAGGGAGCCUGAGAAACGGCUACCACAUCCAAGGAAGGCAGCAGGCGCGCAAAUUACCCAAUCCCGACUCGGGGAGGUAGUGACAAUAAAUAACAAUGCUGGGCUAUUUUGGUCUGGCAAUUGGA
rnacentral:rRNA from 1 species